rnacentral:rRNA from 1 species
AGUGAACGCUGGCGGCAGGCCUAAUACAUGCAAGUCGAACGGCAGCACAGCAGAGCUUGCUCUGUGGGUGGCGAGUGGCGGACGGGUGAGGAAUACAUGGGAAUCUGCCCAGUCGUGGGGGAUAACGUAGGGAAACUUACGCUAAUACCGCAUGCGCCCUUCGGGGGAAAGCCGGGGACCUUCGGGCCUGGCGCGAUUGGAUGAGCCCAUGUCGGAUUAGCUAGUUGGCGGGGUAAUGGCCCACCAAGGCGACGAUCCGUAGCUGGUCUGAGAGGAUGAUCAGCCACACCUGGAACUGAGACACGGUCCAGACUCCUACGGGAGGCAGCAGUAGGGAAUAUUGGACAAUGGGCGCAAGCCUGAUCCAGCCAUGCCGCGUGAGUGAAGAAGGCCCUCGGGUUGUAAAGCUCUUUUGUCCGGAAAGAAAAGCGCCGGGUUAAUACCCUAGUGUCCUGACGGUACCGGAAGAAUAAGCACCGGCUAACUUCGUGCCAGCAC